ACGUUGGAUCAAGGGUUUGUUUAUUGUUUUUGACUUGAGAAAGAGACCGCUUGACGUUGGAUCAAGGGUUUGAUUAUCGAUUUUGAAUGAUGCGCGUUCCUAAUGCCUAAGGAGUAGCUAACGAGCAAUAAAAGAAAGCGAGUAAAUGCGUACACGAUAAAGGGGAGGGGGUACAUGUAAAGUACAAGGGAUUGCAGGAAAUAAAAGGUCUCAUUGUCAGGUAGUCCAAGAGAAGCCAUGCGUGUGCAAUUGUGUUAUAAAUGGAAAAACAAGUAAAAGAUUACAAUUGAUAUUACAAAUUCUUCUUGAUUCUUGCAUGCUUCUUCCAUGUUAGGCCACAUUUGUCCAAGGUCUCUUUUGCAAAGGGUCCUAAUGAGUCUCUAAGUCCAUUGUCCAAAGUCCUCUCCAUGCUUGGAAAAUUAUCUUGUUUUUUGUAUUUUUUAAGUCUUUGCCUUUUUUAUGUUCAUUUUAGAAUGAGAUGAAUAUGAUGGAAUAUAGAUGCAUAAUAUGAUAAAAGCAAAAUAAAAAAAAAAAGUAAAAGUGCGUAAAGUAAAUGACCAAAAUUAAAGGUUAGGAGCGAAAAUUAAAAGCGGAAAAUUAAAGGAGUUAGAAGCGGAAUUGUAAAGAGUUAGAUGUUAGAAGGCGGAAAUUAAAUGUUAGAGUUAAUUGUUAGAAGGUUAAUCAAAAUUAAUCCACAUAAGAGAAUUAAGUCCAACUAUCGAAUUCUAAAAAGUUAACAAAAUAAAAUCUCCACAAUUAUCAACCAAUGAAAAUCCAACAACUCACACAAGUUCCAAUUAUUAAAAUAAACUCUAAACCAAUACAAAGAAAUUCUAAACAUUACCAAAUCAACUUCCACACAAUUAAUCAACUCAUUCUAAAACAAAUUUAAAUCGCUUUAAAAUUCUAAUUAGUUCAAAAAUUAAUCUAAACUAUCCUAAGAUUGACCUAAAAUUGUUUUAAGCUUAUCCUAAUUAGUAUAUUAAACUAAUCCUAAAUCACCUAAUUAAUCCUAAAAUUACUUAAGCCUAGGCCUAAUCCUAAUUAUACCAAAGAUGACAAAAACAAGCAGCCAACUGGAUCAAAGGAAACGUAAUAUGGGCCUAAUAGCAGGGGGUGUGGGUAGUGAAGUACCAUAGGCCCUAUCAACUCCAAUGCCUAAACGCGUUUGCUGGAAGCAGGAGGAAGCGCUUAUUCAGAUAAGCGAAAAAGCACUUCCCAACGACGGUCAUCGCUUCUCCACCGCUGGCACACCAGGUCUCAUACGGAGACUCUACGUGAAGCUUCUAAACAAAAACGCAGCUGUGACAAAACGAUGCCCUCAAGCUAUGGCUCCUACCUCCACAAUUCGAUACAUCACUAUGGCGAGCGAACCAGAGCAUAAGCAUAUGGAUUAAGAGAGCUACCUGUCGAAGAUGACGAUGAUGACGAAGAUCACCGGUAUGCUUCCGAUCCACUUUUGAGCGCCUAUCUUCUUCUUCUCUUAAUGCCGAGAUGCUCCUUCCGUAUCUGAAGCGUGUGAGUGAUGAUGACCGUCGAACCUUGAAGCUUCCGGUGGUGGUUUAGCUCUGCCGUGUAGAGCUUCGAGUGAUGAAACUCUCACAGUAAUGGGAAUGAACGUGUGCUAGGGGUUGGGAGUGAUUACAAGAUUCUUUGUGGAUUGAGGAAAAAUCUUCUAAACCUAAUGAUUGGCAAUGAUUGCCUCUUAUAUAGCGUGAUCCAAGAGGGCAAUUUGGAGAAUUAAGUCUGAAUGGUUAAAUCUGAAUCGUCCAGCUGGCAUCUAAGUGAAGGACACAUGUUGUCAUGGAAUUGGUAUUGCACACCGUCUGCUUUGCACUACAGAGGUCAAGCCAAGGACUACAAAGGUUAGGCUUUGAAGCCUUAUUGCAGGUUACAUCUGUGUUGAAAUGGCCUUGCUGCAAGCAUCGUGUUUCCAUCUGAUGACAGGGCUUGGAGCAAUUCAGUCUUGGCGAAAGGUUCCAAUUGCUGAUUGCUCGCAUAGGAUUCUUGUAAAGUGACUCAGUUGGGCUGUCUUGCAUCAGGCCUUUCAAGGUUUGUUUGGUGUUUAUGGAUGUGAGGUCAAGCACAUGUCUGCAGCAGGUAUAAUUAAAGACCCUAUGCAGUCUCACUGUUAUGCAUUCCGCUGCAGGUUAAUCAUGGCUUCGAUUUCCAACCUCCUGCAGUACUCACCUGUUGCUGCCUCAGCUUCUCUUUCGGUUUCAAUAAGUUGACUGUUAAUUCUUUCUUCCAUGUCCUCUAAAUAUGCAUCUUGAUAAACCCCAACAGAAUUUUGCGGAGAACAAUAACUGCUACCACGGAACGAUUUGGAUGAAUUAGUGGCUUCAGUUUCUAUGAUUUCACCCAGGUUCAAGCUUCUAAUUCCAGAACAUACUGUAGUUCUAGCAGAAUUUGGUUGAAGAUAUUCCGAAUGGGGUAAUUCGUUCUUACCAUUUUGAGAAGAUCUAAAUCUCAAGCUUUCUGUUGCUGCAAUUUCAGGUUGAGUCCCUGAAGACAAAGAACAUGGUUUUUUCAGAAGCCUCUCUUGUCCAAAUGUGUCUGCCUUCUAAUUCUGGUUCAUUUCCUUGCCAUGCACUUUUAUUGGCCUUGUCGUGCAUUAUGGUACAAGGCUGUUUUUUGCAGGUUAUGCUGUGUUGGUCUGCUGCAGGAUACUCAUGAUGAUGGUUAUGAGGUCGAGUGCCGGUCUGCAACAGGUAUGUAAUGACUACCAUUCUGCAGCAUGACUGCAACCUGAAGCUUAUGGCCAAUGCAGGUAGCAUACAUUGUCUGAUGAAAUGGUUUUGAGAUGCUCACCUUGGUUCAACUUUUGCUUGGUUCUGCACAGCAGGGAGCUUUGUCCAUUGCAGCAUAUGGCUUGGCUCAUGAUCAGAUAGGUUAGAAUGAAUUGCAGCAAAGUGUUGCAAAAUUCUACAAUUUUUCAUGACAGGUUGGAUGCGAUCCUAUAAUAGGUAUGGUGACAACUUGGUCAGCAAGGUGGCAAAGCACCCCAAACCUUUACAUUGCUUGAUAACUGUGGAUGCCAAGCCCUGUAUGAAACUGCUGAAUGGCUUUGGUCUCCCUUGUAGGCCAUGAAUGCAUAUGGUUAUGGCGAUUAGUUGAACAAAGCGACACGGUGGCCAAAAUUGAGUUUUAUGACCACUCACAACACAUGGCAAACCAAAAAACCACAGUCAAAGAUUAAAGAUUGAGAAUGGAAUCAGAAUUGGGAUUGGGGAUAUAGGGUUUUAGGAAUUCGGGGAAUUGGGUUGACUUUGGUCAAAGUUGACCAGAAAGUCAACUGUUGACAAAAAAGUCAACUGUUGGUCAAAAAGUCAACUGUUGGUCAACACAUCUUUAUUUGUAUUUUUUCCUUGUAAUGAACCUUUUAUGAUCAUGUAAUGAAUGACAUUUCUUCAUUUGAAUGAACUUGGAUUGGUAUUUGAACUGAA